UGUCCUAUGGCCAAGUUGGUUAAGGCACCCGACUGUUACCUUCAGCACUUCAAAAGUGUCCCGAACGGGGCAAUCGGGAGAUCGACGGUUCGACCCCGUCUGGGACAG